rnacentral:tRNA from 1 species
GCGCCCGUAGCUCAGUGGAUAGAGCACCAGCCUCCGGAGCUGGGAGUCGUUGGUUCGAUCCCAACCGGGCGUACCA